rnacentral:tRNA from 2 species
GUUUCUCUAGCUCAGUCGGUAGAGCAUGAGACUCUUAAUCUCAUGGUUGUGGGUUCGAGUCCCACGUUGGGCA